GGAGAAAUUGAAGCCAACUGAUGAUGAGCUUAGGGAUGCCAUAUGUGAAAUUCUUAAGGAGGUGGAUCUUAAUACGGCUACAUUCACUGACAUUUUGAAGCAACUUGCUCGGCAAUUUGAUACAGAUCUGACCCAAAGAAAGUCAUCUAUAAAACUCAUGAUCCAAGAAGAGCUUACCAAACUAGCUGAUGAUGAAGAAGAUGGAGAUGGUGAUGCUGAGAAAGAUGAAAACCAAUCUACAGUUCAAGAGGUUGAAGCCUGAAAACUUGUAUCAUGAGUUCACAACUGCCAGAAAAUAGUUUAGCUGUAUAUGCUUAUCUCAGUAGUUUCCACCUAGUUGUGCACACUUGUACUACUUAGUUUGUAAACAAAGCCUGUACUGUUGGUGUUUAA
rnacentral:misc_RNA from 1 species